rnacentral:rRNA from 1 species
UACGUAGGGUGCAAGCGUUGUCCGGAAUUAUUGGGCGUAAAGAGCUCGUAGGCGGUUUGUCGCGUCUGCUGUGAAAUCUGGAGGCUCCACCUCCAGCCUGCAGUGGGUACGGGCAGACUAGAGUGCGGUAGGGGAGAUUGGAACUCCUGGUGUAGCGGUGGAAUGCGCAGAUAUCAGGAAGAACACCGAUGGCGAAGGCAGAUCUCUGGGCCGUAACUGACGCUGAGGAGCGAAAGCAUGGGGAGCGAACAGG